UAGGGAAUCUUCCGCAAUGGGCGAGAGCUUGACGGAGCAACGCCGCGUGAGUGAUGAAGGUCUUCGGAUCGUAAAACUCUGUUAUUAGGGAAGAACAAAUGUGUAAGUAACUAUGCACGUCUUGACGGUACCUAAUCAGAAAGCCACGGCUAACUACGUGCCAGCAGCCGCGGUAAUACGUAGGUGGCAAGCGUUAUCCGGAAUUAUUGGGCGUAAAGCGCGCGUAGGCGGUUUUUUAAGUCUGAUGUGAAAGCCCACGGCUCAACCGUGGAGGGUCAUUGGAAACUGGAAAACUUGAGUGCAGAAGAGGAAAGUGGAAUUCCAUGUGUAGCGGUGAAAUGCGCAGAGAUAUGGAGGAACACCAGUGGCGAAGGCGACUUUCUGGUCUGUAACUGACGCUGAUGUGCGAAAGCGUGGGGAUCAAACAGG
rnacentral:rRNA from 1 species